CCGGUGUGCCGGAUGUAGAUUGAGGAGGAUGCUUAUCAGGAGGAUCUCGGCUUCAGCCUCGGCCAGAUCGGCAAGUCCGGCGCUGGCCGCAUUCGUGCAGCACAGGCCAACGAGGUGACCAAGGCUCGGAUCUCCAAGUCCAUGCAGAGGACGCUUCAGAAGCAGGUGUAUGGGGGCAAGUCCACAGUGAGGGACCGCACGUCUGGGACGGCUUCCAGCGUCGCCUUCACCCCUCUACAGGGACUGGAGAUUGUGAAUCCCCACGCAGCUGAGAAGAAAGUGGGCGAAGCCGCCCAGAAAUAUUUCUGUGUCUCCGCGGAGUUCCUGAGAGUGAAGAGGGAGAGACACGGAGACACUCCGGCACCCAGAUAGAGACACGGGGAGAGAGAGAGACACGGGGAGAGAGAGACACGGGGAGAGAGAGAG